rnacentral:rRNA from 1 species
CCUACGGGGGGCAGCAGUGGGGAAUCUUGCGCAAUGGGCGAAAGCCUGACGCAGCAACGCCGCGUGUGUGAUGAAGGUCUUCGGAUCGUAAAGCACUGUCGGGAGGGACGAAUAAGGGCUGGGUGAACAAUCCAGUUCGAUGACGGUACCUCCAAAGGAAGCACCGGCUAACUCUGUGCCAGCAGCCGCGGUAAUACAGAGGGUGCAAGCGUUGUUCGGAAUUAUUGGGCGUAAAGCGCGUGUAGGCGGUCACGCAAGUCGGAUGUGAAAGCCCUCGGCUUAACCGAGGAAGUGCGUUCGAUACUACGUGACUUGAGUACCGGAGAGGGUGGCGGAAUUCCCGGUGUAGAGGUGAAAUUCGUAGAUAUCGGGAGGAACACCAGUGGCGAAGGCGGCCACCUGGACGGCUACUGACGCUGAGACGCGAAAGCGUGGGGAGCAAACAGGAUUAGAUACCCUAGUAGUC